rnacentral:rRNA from 1 species
AUGAACGCUGGCGGCGUGCUUAACACAUGCAAGUCGAACGAUGAAGCCCAGCUUGCUGGGUGGAUUAGUGGCGAACGGGUGAGUAACACGUGAGUAACCUGCCCUUAACUCUGGGAUAAGCCUGGGAAACUGGGUCUAAUACCGGAUAGGAGCGUCCACCGCAUGGUGGGUGUUGGAAAGAUUUAUCGGUUUUGGAUGGACUCGCGGCCUAUCAGCUUGUUGGUGAGGUAAUGGCUCACCAAGGCGACGACGGGUAGCCGGCCUGGGAGGGUGACCGGCCACACUGGGACUGAGACACGGCCCAGACUCCUACGGGAGGCAGCAGUGGGGAAUAUUGCACAAUGGGCGCAAGCCUGAUGCAGCGACGCCGCGUGAGGGAUGACGGCCUUCGGGUUGUAAACCUCUUUCAGUAGGGAAGAAGCGAAAGUGACGGUACCUGCAGAAGAAGCACCGGCUAACUACGU